GGCUGAUGUUCCAGCAGUUCCAAGAAGAGGAAAACGUGAGGAGCAGAAACUUCCACCGCAAGAUUUACGACGUGGAGCACGUCUUCUUGAACGCCACACAGAGCCAGAGGCUGGUCACCCUCAGCAGCACACUGCACCAGGAGCUGCUCAUCCAAGUCAGCAUCAGCCAGGUGUCCCUGCGCAGCUUCCGCCAAGUACUUGGAGGAGAGCCUGGGCAAGCUCUGCUACACCAACAUUGAGUUCAUCAAGCACUGCAGAUUGUUUUCAGAGGGAAGCAACAUUUCUUCUGAAGAAAUUGACUCACUGUGUCAUCGACUGGAGAAGGAAACUGCCCGGAUAGAGUUUGUUGAAAGCUUAAUCAUGAUCAACAUGGAGAAGAUGGAGAGCGAGUACCUGGACCAGGCCAAUGAUGUCAUCAAUAAAUUUGACAGUAAAUUCCAUAACCUGUCUGCGGACCUUAUUCUCUUAGAGAAAAUCCAGCGUUUGCUCACAAAUCUGCAGGUGAACAUCCAGUGCGAG